AACGAACGCUGGCGGCGUGCUUAACACAUGCAAGUCGAAUGCGAGCGCUCUCUUCGGAGAGCGAGUAGCAUGGCAGACGGGUGAGGACCACGUAACUGACCUGACCUUCGAUGGGGGAUAGUCGUCCGAAAGGAGGUUGAAUACCGCAUACGUUCGUUUUUGCAGAUGCGAGAACGAAGAAAGCCGGCCUCUGCAAGCAAGCUGGUGUCGAGGGAGGGGGUUGCGUCCUAUUAGCUGGUUGGUGGGGUAAUGGCCUACCAAGGCGACGAUGGGUCGCUGGUCUGAGAGGAUGAUCAGCCACACUGGGACUGAGACACGGCCCAGACUCCUACGGGAGGCAGCAGUGGGGAAUUUUGCGCAAUGGACGCAAGUCUGACGCAGCAACGCCGCGUGAGUGAUGACGCCUUUCGAGGUGUAAAGCUCUGUCA
rnacentral:rRNA from 1 species